rnacentral:rRNA from 1 species
GAUGAACGCUGGCGGCGUGCCUAAUACAUGCAAGUCGAGCGAACAGAUGAGGAGCUUGCUCCUCUGAUGUUAGCGGCGGACGGGUGAGUAACACGUGGAUAACCUACCUAUAAGACUGGGAUAACUUCGGGAAACCGGAGCUAAUACCGGAUAAUAUAUUGAACCGCAUGGUUCAAUAGUGAAAGACGGUUUUGCUGUCACUUAUAGAUGGAUCCGCGCCGCAUUAGCUAGUUGGUAAGCUAACGGCUUACCAAGGCAACGAUGCGUAGCCGACCUGAGAGGGUGAUCGGCCACACUGGAACUGAGACACGGUCCAGACUCCCACGGGAGGCAGCAGUAGGGAAUCUUCCGCAAUGGGCGAAAGCCUGACGGAGCAACGCCGCGUGAGUGAUGAAGGUCUUCGGAUCGUAAAACUCUGUUAUUAGGGAAGAACAAAUGUGUAAGUAACUAUGCACGUCUUGACGGUACCUAAUCAGAAAGCCACGGCUAACUACGUG